CACGUAGGGAGCAAGCGUUGUCCGGAUUUAUUGGGCGUAAAGAGCUCGUAGGCUGUUCGAUAAGUCGGGUGUGAAACCUCCAGGCUCAACCUGGAGACGCCACCCGAUACUGUCAUGACUAGAGUCCGGUAGGGGAGCGUGGAAUUCCUGGUGUAGCGGUGAAAUGCGCAGAUAUCAGGAAGAACACCAAUGGCGAAGGCAGCUCUCUGGGACGGUACUGACGCUGAGACGCGAAAGCGUGGGGAGCGAACAGG
rnacentral:rRNA from 1 species